rnacentral:lncRNA from 1 species
GAAGCAAUUUCUGUAGCUAAAUUUCAUAUUGAAUUUGCUGGAACUUGUUACACACACCAAAAACUAAAUUGUGUAUCUAAAAAUUGGAUAAAAAUAUUUACACUUUUUUAGCAAUAUUGAUUGUACAAGAAAAUCCACAUUUUUGUUUAAAAAGGCCCAGAUAUGAGAAUUACAGAGUGACUGAGCAGGGUGAAGUAGGCUAAGGGAAGAACAAUGAACAAAUUUUGUUUCCAUUAUGUACUAAUUUAUAUGAGAAAGAAUAUUCUCUAUAAUUCUGACAUGAAUGAUUAUAACUCUGUAAAAGUAUAUUAGCAUAUUUUAUUUUGUAAUUCUGUGAUAAAAUUGUACAAAGAACAUGUAAUUUAUUUUGUAAUAGUUUGUUUUAUUAUAAACCAUUUUACAAAUAAAACUGACAGUUUUAUGAUAUAUUUUUACUUUGUAUUGUUAAAUAUAGAUUUAAGAAGAUGUGGCAUGAGUGCCAAUGAGACAACUCUCCAUCCAAGUCACAAUUUUUUAAAAGUAAACCUUUAUAGGUCACAAGUAAGGUCUUCAAUACACAGCC